rnacentral:lncRNA from 1 species
UUUCCCGCCCGCUCAUCUGCUUUCCCUCCCUCCAUAAUAAGUGUGGCACCUGGAGUGUGUGACUUUCAUGAUUUUCUUUUAGGAGAAACAUAACGCAGUCCUCUGUCCCGCCCCUCCUGCAGGGAAUGGUCAUGGGGGCGUAGUUAACCCCAUGCGUGCGGAGGUACACCUUGGAGCCCAGCGCCGACACAGGGUGAAUUAUACUGCUGGGUCACAAGAAGAAGACGUGGCUCCUCUUGAUGCUGAGGGAGGCCUGGAAGUCAUUGCUGGGAGCUUGGGAAGAGGGCUCCCCGAGGCAGAGCCUCCCAGGGGACAGAGGCGGCCCAGCGAUGACCUGGGAGGGUGAUGGGAGCUGCUGUCAGAGUUCUCGCCAGACCCUCCCAGGGAACCCCAGACUUGGUUUCAGCAGGAACCACAUGUGACCCUGGAUGAGCUGACCCCCAUCACUAGGAAAUGUACCUUAAGUCAGAAAAGUAUUCACACUUUGAGUCCCCUCAACUUUGGCUGAACUAAUAGCAAUUACAUUAAAAAUGUGUCUGCCCUUCAUCUUCUUUGACUUUGAUAUUAAAUAUCUCUA